AUUGACUUUUGUUAAUUAAUUAUAGUUUCAACUUCAAUUUUGAAAAUUGUAAUAACAGCCUAGUUUUUAUUCCAUAAUCCACAGAACUUGAACAUCCAUGCGGAAUGUACAAAUUAUUGACUUUUCGAGUGAAGUUAUCUUCUUAUGUCUAGCCUGGCACAGACCGUUCAAGAUUACACUGUUAGCACCAACACUAACAGUCAUGGUGGCAGGAUGGAUCCAGCAUGACCUGGUAGGGGGGGUGGUGGUUUUGAUCUGCCAGCUCUAAUGCCAAGUUAUGUUGGUCAUGUACGCCACCUGCCCAUCAACUUACAAGUCAAGC